UUCUCUUCUGGAGAUUGCCUCUGCUGGUGUUUUGUGAGUGAGCCCAGGAUAGAGUGUGUAACGAGGCUUGGAUCUGGACAAUGAAAAUGCCAGAAGAUGCUCCUGAUGCAGAAGCUCCAGCCUCUCUGAACACAACGUAGACUCAGAAGCUAGCUUUCAGGGAUCUGCCUGCCUUGGGAGUUUGUAGUCUCCAGCAAGGAACCUGAAAGACACAUCAGUGAUUCCCACCCCCUAAGAUGAAAAUCAGCUGUUAUUACUUUGAUUGCUUUGUUCUGCUCACACUUACCCAUGACUCUUCUUUCUCAAUACUCAUUCCCAAAACUUACUGAAUUUCAAGCUAGGUUUUGAGUUACUUUUAUGGUUUUUCCCAAUAUUUACUGACUUUUUAAGCUGUUCAUAGUUUGAAUAGUACUCACUCCUUGUCUUUAUUUUUGUCCGCUUUAUUUCCACUGUGCAGUCUUGAAAUGCUGAAUCUGAGGCAGUCAUUUUAGUGGCCAGAUAGAUAUAAAAAACAUGGGAGUUUUAACUUUUCCACCAGCAUGAAACCAAAUGAAAUGCUUGACUGUAAUGAAAAAGCCGCUUUAUUCAACUGCAAUUUCUUGCAAUGACAGCAACAGGAUAAAGAAUCUAGUUGGGAUUACCAUUUGGCAUAAUAUAAGAGGAUUGUAGAAAUUAAUGACACUGACUUAAUAGGUUAAAGCAAAGACUUACUGCAGUGCUUUGAAAAAACUACCUUGCUAUUAAAUAUAUUGCUGCUUUCUUCUCCUGUAGGGGCUACAGCUGUUGAGUUGUCUCCAUUAGUUGCCUCCAAGCACCUCUCCUCUCACACUGCUACUGCCAUGGUUUUUUUUGUUUUCCAUCCCACUAGGGAGGCUACAUGCAACAAAUGAAGUCUGGGUGUAGUGAUUUUUCUCUGCUGUUCAGUUUUCACUCUUUUUCAACAUGGUCUUAUCGACGGGCAGUGGUCCUUACAGACAAGUACCUGCUCUGGCCUGUACCUUCAGAGGCUGCAGUCCCUUCAGGAGGGAGCCUCCUUGCACCUACUAGUUAUUACCUUGUUCCUUCUGUUGUUCCUUUCCUGUUUUGUGCAACACUUUCUGUCCUCUCCAGGCUGUCCCAAGGCAAGCUGCUGGGAUGCAUUUUGUCCAACAAGGUGCAGCUUGGCUUUGCCUCACGCUGCAACCUCACAGUGCCCUGACACCAACUGGGCACCUGCGCUCAGUACACCCCCACUGUGAGCAGCUACUCCAGAAUUUUAUACUUCUCAUCCACACCAGUCUGGUGUGCCAUUGAGUCUCUAGACCUCUCUCUGAUCUUUUUCUCAACCUCCCACUGGCAGCAUAUUGAUGUCUGUCCAGGCCUUUUCAUGCCAACAUUGAGAGAACAAAUUAUAUGAUGAAAUCUUAACUGUUGAAAAGUUAUAGGUAUAAUUAUUUAUCUUUCAAUUUUGUUUCACAGGGAGUACUUCAAAUGUAGUACUUGCACUGGUGAUAUAUUUUGAGGGCACAGCCCAGACUUCUGUAGUGCUGUAGGUGAAAUGCUGGAUUCCAGAAACGUUCUCUUGCACAGCAAAGCAGUCAUUAGUGCCCAGUAUGACAUCCCAACUGCAGCAAGCAGAAGGGACUCAAGCUGUUUGUCUCUACCCAGAAUGUAAGAAUUGACAUGCUUCCUAUUCCCAGAGCAGUUUUCAGGUUUUUCAUUCAACACCUUCUUUGUUGAACUGUCCCUUUGCUGAAGUAAAAAAGAAAUAAAGGGAAUGCUGGGAGGAACAGCGUGGAAUAAUUUUGUUUUUCAUUUAGUCCGGCAAUCUUUUAGAUUUGUACCCACUUUAUAUGCUAGAGGGACAAGGGAAGUACAACACCUAAAUCCAUAUGAUUUUGAGGAUAUCUCCUGAUCAGUAAUUACAUCCACCUGCUUCUGGCCAGGGCAAAAUUCUCUUUCCUACAUAGCUUAUUUUUCCUUUGUCAUCAUACACCACAGUAUAUUUUUGGGCAGACAUUUUGUCUUAUGUAUUUCUGCUUAUUUAUUAUUUCUGUGUGAGACAUUUCUCUCGCAUAAGAGAGAAAUCACUCUAGUUCAUUACCUUUUCACUGAAGGUCUUGUAUUGUGUGAGUGUGCAGGAGCUCAUGUAUCUGUCCUUGCCUCUCAACAAAAGAAAACUUACUCUGCCAGUUUCUCCUGGCUUUUUUGCUCUCUUAUGUGGCUGCAUUUCCAUUUUGGUAAUGCAUGGUUUGUGCAUCUGAAUCAGCCUGCUGCUAAACACUAACUUCAAGAUUAGGGGGACAUGUUAAGUAAUUCCUAAUAAAUGGCAGUGAAUAUUAGAAAUUAGAAAUGUUUAAAUUCUGCAUUAGAAAGGAUGUUUUUUCUUCGGUUUUACUUUUCAUCCUGCAACUUCUGGGCCUUAACAUCUGCUUGAAUUUCCAAUAAAAUUGAGGAAUUUUCUUGUUAGUGCAGGAAAACAUUUGGAGUUAGUUUCUCACUGAAUAGCUCCAUCAACUUGCAAAGCAAAGUAUGCAAGAUUUGACUCUUUCCUUAAAGAAGCUUUUCCAUGCCUUCUAUUACAUCAAGAAGAGUGGUUUUUAUCUUACACAUUCUUGAGUUUGUUUUGAGUCCAAAAGGUAACUGGAGACCUAAGCUCAGUUUAUUAAAUCAUCCCACCAGGUCCUUAUUGAACUUUUGACCAGCUCCUCUAAAACAAGCCAGUAACCUACCAUUGAGCUGGCACUAGGGCUCUGUUACAAUUAGAUUAAAAAAAAAAAAAAAAAAAAAAAAGAGGGGUAGAAAGAGAAGAAACCAAAAGAGAAAAAAAAUUCCUUCCUUCUUAUUAUUAUGAUAAAAUUUAAAGGAUUGUUCGCUUCCAAACAGUAGGAGGUGGACAGAUUAAAGUUUUAGGACUGUAACAACAUCUCUCUUUGUGCUGUCUGGUUCAGCAAUGUGAACCCUGUAACACUUGACAUCCAUCACAACAUUUCCUGCAGUUACCAUUCUUCUACUUAGGCCAAAUCCCCAGUUCUGAUUUGUAGUCUGUAAUUUGGAGACAUUAAAUUACUAUAAUGAAGAAAAUAUCUGAUGAUGUAUUGUGCUUUCGAAUAAUAAAACCACUAAAAUUGCAGCUUGGAGAACUAAAUCAAAUAUAUAAUUACCUUUGUUUGUAGGAUUCCCUCUAAGAACGUUAUGUUGUUUAAUCCAUGCCUUUCUUUCUCUUUUAAUAACCCGUGUUCUUAGAAAGAGGAUCAUGCAUUUAAAUAUGUUCUUGGCACUUAGCCCUACUCCCACCUCUUUUCCUUCCUUCUUGCUGACCCAUAACAAAUCUUCUGGUUUUAAUUUCACUUUACAUUCAAAAGCACUGACAGAGGCUUUAAUGCAAAAAGCUUAAUUUAAGUGUUCAGUUUUAUUAGUUUCAAUUCUCACACUUGGAAGGUGUCUUGGUUCCAAAAUCCUUUGUUUGGUUGGUUGUUAUUUUUCUUAGUCUUUCUUUUUAGAUGAGUUGUAUCUGGUAUUAAAAAUGAGUACAGUGAUUGAAUGUUCAGAAGCCAGUGACUUUAGAGAGCUUGCCAACAUACAGUAUGUGGUUCAUUUUAUUUUUUUUCCUCCCCAUUAAAAAUUUAUUUUACACAUUUGUAAUCACUGUAGAUACUUUCAGUGUAAGACACUUUAUCCCUCCUUUUCAUCACUCUCAACUCACUGUCACAGUCUUUUGGUUGUUUCCAGAAUGUAUCCCUGAGAGUAGCAUGGAAAAUAAUUAUCCCUUGCUCUCUUAGUUUUAAGGUUGACUGCCUUUCCUGUGCUCUCUCCAAAAAAGGGUCCUUUGAGAUCAGUGAUGAUUCAACCUCAAAUGUCUGAAAGCUUGUAUAUACGUGCCUGAAAACAUCAGCCAACACUAUUUUCUGAGUUUACUGAGUAUCUAAAAUUGUUCUGAAAAUCUCAGAAGAUAGCAAUUAGGUACACGCGUUCUGAAGCUACCUAGCCACCACUGAAAAGGACAAGGGGACAAUUGGCAUUGUAUCUUUCUUCUGGAUUCUAUUUAAUACCCUGAAAUUCAAAUGAACAGUAUAGGUGCUAUGAGAGUUUGAAUGAAUCUUAAGAGAAGCUGCACUCUUUUCCUUUCUCACCUAUAUUAAUUGAAGAGUAAUUUGAAGGGAGCGAAUGAUCUUAUUUUAUCCAUCCCAGCCUAUACACAGACAAGAUGAAAACUGAAGCCAUGUGGACAGCUUAAAACAGACAAUUUCUGCGGUUUGCCAGACCAACCUAUCAUUAAUUCAUCUUUUGCCGGAAGCAGUUUGGUGCUAAAUUUUUUAGAAUGGUUUCUCCCUUUCAGAACAAAAGCAUGUAUCUUUUAUCCAUAUUACAUUUGUUGAUCUUAGUUCUAAUUAGUACUAAUGACUCAGUAAAGAUGUAUUUUUAACUCUACCAGUGAUCAGAAAGUAGAAAUAAAGAAAAACCACAGCAGCAUGUAAAGUCUACAUUGUCAGAAUUAUUUAUAUCAUGGUACAUUUCUGCUUACCCUGGAUUGGGUCAUGCUUUUCUGUAACUUAGAAGUAUGCAUUAUCACUUAAGUAAGGAGGAGGAAGCCUGGUCAAUGUAGGGAUACACAGAUAGAGUAAGAGAUACUAUUUUGGGAAAUAUGUCAAAUAGAAACAAAAUGUAUGUUGGCAGGUAGAGCAGCAAAACAGCAAAAAUCAUACUGAAUGUUCCAGCUUGACCUAAGAGCUAACAGAGACUGCCUUGCACAUUAUUUACCUUUUAUCAAACAUAUAUAUCUCCUAUCAUCAGAUUGGUUGGACAUAUAUCUCUUUUGAUAUGAUUCUAAAGAGAAAAUUUCUUAACUACAGAGUACUCAGUCAAACACAAUCAGAUUCCUGGAACAUGAUGAAAUAACACUGCAACCAUUUGUUGAAAUGUGAAAAGGCAUUCUAUACUUGUGUAUAUACU